rnacentral:rRNA from 1 species
AUUGAACGCUGGCGGCAGGCCUAACACAUGCAAGUCGAGCGGAUGAGUGGAGCUUGCUCCAUGAUUCAGCGGCGGACGGGUGAGUAAUGCCUAGGAAUCUGCCUGGUAGUGGGGGACAACGUUUCGAAAGGAACGCUAAUAUCGCAUACGUCCUACGGGAGAAAGUGGGGGAUCUUCGGACCUCACGCUAUCAGAUGAGCCUAGGUCGGAUUAGCUAGUUGGUGAGGUAAAGGCUCACCAAGGCGACGAUCCGUAACUGGUCUGAGAGGAUGACCAGUCACACUGGAACUGAGACACGGUCCAGACUCCUACGGGAGGCAGCAGUGGGGAAUAUUGGACAAUGGGCGAAAGCCUGAUCCAGCCAUGCCGCGUGUGUGAAGAAGGUCUUCGGAUUGUAAAGCACUUUAAGUUGGGAGGAAGGGCAGUAAGUUAAUACCUUGCUGUUUUGACGUUACCAACAGAAUAAGCACCGGCUAACUUCGUGCCAGCAGCCGCAGUAACAC